CAUCACACGGGGUAAGAGGUCUGAGAGGAAAACAAGCUGCCAGAGUUGGACAUGCCAUAACAACGCCGCACCUGUCACCGUGUGUAUCUAUGAAAUGAGCCGGCGGAGCUCGACACCUGUGUGACCCCCUGCUGCAGUGAGCUCUCUCCCCCCAUAAUGAUCGGAGCUCUUCUGCUCGGGUCUCGGGCCGCAGCCACUUCCUCCCUCUGCGUGGACCUGAUCGAUGACGCGCCCGGCUUCGCAGAAGUGCUUAAAACCCAUUUUAGGGCAUUUUGUGGGACUUCGCGUUUGAGACCAACACGAAGUAGCGCGUACAUGUAUAGUGGAAGGAAAACCACGCAUGCUUUUCUUUUCUUUUCUUUUCUUUUAUUUCUCCUAUAAACAAUAUGAAAAGUC